AGUGAACGCCGGCGGUAGGCCUAACACAUGCAAGUCGAACGGCAGCACAGGAGAGCUUGCUCUCUAGGUGGCGAGUGGCGGACGGGUGAGGAAUACAUCGGAAUCUGCCCAGUCGUGGGGGAUAACGUAGGGAAACUUACGCUAAUACCGCAUACGACCUUCGGGUGAAAGAGGGGGAUCGCAAGACCUCUCGCGAUUGGAUGGGCCGAUGUCGGAUUAGCUAGUUAGCGGGGUAAUGGCCCACCAAGGCGACGAUCCGUAGCUGGUCUGAGAGGAUGAUCAGCCACACUGGAACUGAGACACGGUCCAGACUCCUACGGGAGGCAGCAGUGGGGAAUAUUGGACAAUGGGCGCAAGCCUGAUCCAGCCAUACCGCGUGGGUGAAGAAGGCCUUCGGGUUGUAAAGCCCUUUUGUUGGGAAAGAAAUCUUUCAGGCUAAUACCCUGGGAGGAUGACGGUACCCAAAGAAUAAGCACCGGCUAACUUCGUG
rnacentral:rRNA from 1 species